GCUCACCUCCUUUUCUUCCAUUAAAAUUCACAGCUAAGGUGAGGAUGUGGGGGAUAAGGAUACUUAUACAUUGUUGAUGGGACUGCAAAUUACCACAUCCACUUUGGAAAGCAGUGUGGGGAUCCCUCAAAAGACUAAGAUUGGAACCAUCUUAUGACCCAGCCAUCUCAUUUUUUGGCAUUUAUCUAAAAGAACUAAAAUCAGCAUUCUGUUGUGAUACAUGCAUACCAAUGUUUAUAGCAGCCCAAAUCACGAUAGCCAAGUAUGGAACUAGCCUAAGAGUCAACAGACAAAUGUGUUGAGAGCCACAGCCGAAGCAGCCCCAGCAAACUUCCAGCUGAUUGGCUCACAGCGGCCCCAGCAAACUUCCAGCUGAUUGGCUCACCGUGGCCCCAGCAACCAGCUGAUUGGCUCCUCUGCGGUGAUGCUCAUUGGGCUGUUUCCCCGCCCUUUCAGAACACAGAGCUGCUCAAUGGGGGACUCUUUUGGCUCCGCCCACAUGACCCAACCAAUCGGCCUCAAGAGUGGGAAGAGAUUGGGGGAGGUGCUCACAGGGAGUGCCUGAGGUGGCAGUUG
rnacentral:lncRNA from 1 species